GAGUUUGAUCCUGGCUCAGGAUGAACGCUGGCGGCGUGCUUAAUACAUGCAAGUCGAACGGAGGUAGCAAUACUUCAGUGGCGACCGGGUGCGUAACACGUAGCUGACCUGCCCCUCAGCGGGGGAUAACAUCUCGAAAGAGGUGCUAAUACCGCAUGAACUCUUGGUAGUUAGAGUGCCAAGAGAAAACUUCAGGGGUUGAGGGAGGGAGCUGCGGCCCAUCAGGUAGUUGGUAAGGUAGUGGCUUACCAAGCCGAUGACGGGUAGGGGGCCUGAGAGGGUGGUCCCCCACACUGGAACUGACACACGGUCCAGACUCCUACGGGAGGCAGCAGUAAGGGAUAUUGGUCAAUGGGCGCAAGCCUGAACCAGCAACGCCGCGUGCAGGAUGACGGCCUUCGGGUUGUAAACUGCUUUUGUCGGGGACGAGAGAGGACGGUACCCGGCGAAUAAGUCACGGCUAACUACGUGCCAGCAGCCGCGGUAACACGUAGGUGGCGAGCGUUAUCCGGAUUUACUGGGCGUAAAGCGUGUGCAGACUGACUAGCAAGUGGUGUAUGAAAUCGCGGUGCUUAACACAGCGAGGUUAUGCCAGACUGCUGGACUAGAGUGCGAGAGAGGGAUGUGGAAUUCCGGGUGUAGUGGUGAAAUGCGUAGAGAUCCGGAGGAACCCCAGAGGCGAAAGCGGCGUCCUGGCUCGCAACUGACGUUCAGACACGACAGCAUGGGGAGCAAACGGGAUUAGAAACCCCGGUAGUCCAUGCCGUAAACGAUGCCGACUAGGCGCUGGUGGUGAUAAACCGUCGGUGCCGCAGCUAACGCGAUAAGUCGGCCGCCUGGGGACUACGGCCGCAAGGCUAAAACUCAAAGGAAUUGACGGGGGCCCGCACAAGCAGCGGAGCGUGUG
rnacentral:rRNA from 1 species